CCUAUUUUGAAUUCUUUCUCUGUCAUUUGCCGAGUAGAAAAAGAUUCUGCAGUGCAAAGUUAUAUUUAAAAGCCAUUUUAUACUAUUUUCAUAUAUAUACUAUAAAAUGCCUUGUUAAUUUUGAGUUACUUUCAUCUCAACAACUGUGGAAGUGUGAAAGUCAAGAACGAAAUAGAAUUUUAUAUUGUUAUUCACAUAACAUGUGAUUGCCUGGUGCUUAUGUGCUAAGGUAAAUGUGUAAAUAUGUGCAGUGGGUAAACAGUACUGCCCGUUGAUUGCAUGAAUAGUGGCUUAAAAAGUUGCUCAAUGACUCUACUGCUAGAAGUUGACACUUAAACCAAAAUCCAAUCUAGAGCAGA